CUUCUUAAUUCGGCGCUGUGACGCAGAGGUUCCAGAAGAACUGCGAUUUAAAACUCACGCCAUGUUACACGGAAAAUAUGGAUAAUUGCAAAUUAGACGACUUGUUUACGAAUAUGGAGAGGGAGAUGAGUGAAGACAGGAAGCUGUGCAGUUUACUGAACGAGAUGCGAUUGGACGGGUCGCUGUGUGACGCGGUGCUCAGAGUGGACGAAGUGGACUUCAAGGUCCACAAGAACAUCCUCUCGGCGUACAGCCAGCACUUCAGAUCUCUAUUCACAAGAUGUAGCAAUCUGGAUCAGAGAGUGUACAACAUCACUGGUGUAUCUCCAGAAAUCAUGAAUCUUAUAAUCCAAUACAUGUACACGCAAGACAUUCAAGUCACCACCAAUAAAGUGGAGGCUCUCUUGGAUGCAGCCAAUCACUUGCUUAUCCAAGACCUUGCAUUGAGCUGCUGUAAAUUCCUUCAGGAUCAUCUAAACCCGGAUAACUGCUUAAGGAUUUGGCAAUACGCUGACAAUAAUGCGUACUACGAGCUGCGGGAUCAGGCCUACAUGUACACGUUGCAUCACUUCGAGGACGUUGUUUUUUCACCAUCUGGAAAGUUCCUGGAUUUGACCGUGGAGCAGCUCAGUGACAUCCUGGAGAAGGAUGAGCUGAACAUCAAGGAGGAGAAAACAGCUUUCCAAGCUAUAAUCCUGUGGAUCAGGCAUGAACCCAGCGUCCGAAAGCAGCAAAUAGUGAACCUAUUGCCAAAGGUGCGGCUGGCUCUGGUGCCUCUGGAAUACUUUUUGGAAAAUAUAAAGAAAAACCCGGUGGUCAGCAGUGUGUGUGAGUGUCAACCCAUCAUCACCCGUGCCAUGAAGGCCAUGUACACCUCCAAAAUGGCUGAACUUAACACCAGACUCUCGGAUCCGUUUACCCGUCCACGGCUCCCGUAUUCCAUCUUGUUUGCCAUUGGUGGCUUCAGUGACGAAUCUCCAACGAACAUCGUGGAAACUUACGACUCGAAGCUGGACAGCUGGAUGUGCAUCUCCAGCAGAGUAGAGCAAGCUCGAGCGUGUCAUGGCACAGUGUUCUUGGACGGUUUGGUGUAUGUUAUUGGUGGCUUUGAUAGUAUGGAGUACUUAAACUCCACGUGCACUUUCAAUCCCCUGGAUGGAACGUGGAAUGAGGUGGCGCCCAUGCACUCGCACCGCAGCUAUGUUAGCGUUACCGUGUUAGAUGGAUUCAUCUAUGCCAUGGGAGGCUUCAAUGGCACCAUACGGCUUAACACAGCUGAACGUUAUCAACCAUGCACCAACCAGUGGAGCCUCAUCCCAUCCAUGCACGAGCAACGAAGUGACGCCAGUGCUGCCACCUUAAAUGGCAAGAUCUACAUCUGUGGAGGCUUCAAUGGAAAUGAGUGUCAUUUCACGGCUGAGUGUUUUGACCCUCAUCAUUAUCAGUGGACACUGAUCGUGCGGAUGCACAUGCGCAGGAGUGGUGUAGGCGUCAUUGCGCUGAACAACCAAUUGUUUGCUGUAAGAACUGAAAGUAACACACACAAAUACAAACACACAACUAAAAAUUAAACCAUGUGACUUAUGUACUGAUAUUAGGAUAGAAAUUUCAAGCGGUAAACAAAAAUGACAUCUAAAAAUGAGACUGUGGUAAAUGUAAAAAUAAUUCUAUGAAAACUUGAAAUAAAUGAAGUUCAUAUGAUUGUUCUGUAAGUGACUGGAUCGAGACAUGGUUCUAUUUGGACUGUUUAUGUUAAUUUUUUCCUUCACACUGACAGAGAGAAAUCUGAUGUUUUAUAGAUUGGAGGAUCAGAUGGAGUCAAUCAGACGCAGAGCAUUGAAGCCUUUAACCCUCGCACCAACACCUGGAGGUUUCUUUCCCCCAUGUUUAACCCACACAGCAACUUUGGCAUCGAGGUGAUGGAUGAUCGCCUGUAUGUGAUUGGUGGCUACAGUACUGAAGGCACAACCUCCAGAUGUGAAUACUACGACGUGUAUAAAAACAAGUGGUUCGAAAUCCAGAACAUGAACAUUUGCCACAGUGCAGUUAGCUGCUGUGUGGUUUCUGGGCUUCCCAACAUCACCGACUACACCACAGAACGUG